AGCAGUAGCCACGGGAACACAGAGGGUGCGAGCGUUAAUCGGAUUUACUGGGCGUAAAGCGUGCGUAGGCGGCUUCUUAAGUCGGAUGUGAAAUCCCUGAGCUUAACUUAGGAAUUGCAUUCGAUACUGGGAAGCUAGAGUAUGGGAGAGGAUGGUAGAAUUCCAGGUGUAGCGGUGAAAUGCGUAGAGAUCUGGAGGAAUACCGAUGGCGAAGGCAGCCAUCUGGCCUAAUACUGACGCUGAGGUACGAAAGCAUGGGGAGCAAACAGGAUUAGAUACCCCCGUAGUCCCUGUCUCUUAUAC
rnacentral:rRNA from 1 species